rnacentral:rRNA from 1 species
UACGUAGGGACCAAGCGUUGUCCGGAAUCAUUGGGCGUAAAGAGCGUGUAGGCGGCUUGUUAAGUCUUGCGUGAAAUCUCGGGGCUCAACCCCGAGCGGUCGUGAGAAACUGGCAGGCUAGAGUGCGGGAGAGGAGAGUGGAAUUCCUGGUGUAGCGGUGAAAUGCGCAGAUAUCAGGAGGAACACCGAUGGCGAAGGCAGGUCUCUGGGCUGACACUGACGCUCAUGCACGAAAGCGUGGGGAGCAAACAGG